AUCCAGCUGAUGAGUCUCUAAUAAGACGAAAUGCACAGCCUGGAU
rnacentral:hammerhead_ribozyme from 1 species